GACGAACGCUGGCGGCGUGCUUAACACAUGCAAGUCGAACGGCAAGGCCCUGCUUUUGUGGGGUGCUCGAGUGGCGAACGGGUGAGUAACACGUGUGUAACCUGCCCUUCUCUUUGGGAUAACUUCAGGAAACUGGGGCUACUCUCAUACAGCAGAUCCCGCUGCAUUGUGGGGGUUGGAACGUUUCGGCGGUUGGGGUUGGACUCGCGGCUUAUCAGCUUGCUGGUGGGGUAGUGGCUUACCAAGCCUUUGACGGGUAGCCGGCAUGAGAGGGUGACCGGCCACAUUGGGACUGCGAGACGGACCAGACUCCUACGGGAGGCAGCAGUGGGGAAUAUUGCACAAUGGGCGGAAGCCUGUUGCAGCAACGCCGCGUGCGGGAUGACGGCCUUCGGGGUAAAAACCGCUGUCGCCUGUAACGAAGCGGGAGUGACGGUAAUGGAUAAAGAAGCACCGGCUAACUACGUG
rnacentral:rRNA from 1 species